CCAAUAGCGUAUAUUAAAGUUGUUGCAGUUAAAAAGCUCGUAGUUGAAUUUCGGGGUCAGUAGAUUGGUCAUGCCACUGGUAUGUACUGGUCUCACUGAUUCCUCCUUCCUGAUGAGCCGUAAUGCCAUUAAUUUGGUGUUGCGAGGAAUCUGGACUGUUACUUUGAAAAAAUUAGAGUGUUUAAAGCAGGCUAACGCUUGAAUACAUUAGCAUGGAAUAAUGAAAUAGGACGUUCGAUCUUAUUUUGUUGGUUUCUAAGAUUGACGUAAUGAUUAAUAGGGAUAGUUGGGGGCAUUAGUAUUCAAUUGUCAGAGGUGAAAUUCUUGGAUUUAUUGAAGACUAACUACUGCGAAAGCAUUUGCCAAGGAUGUUUUCAUUAGUCAAGAACGAAAGUUAGGGGAUCGAAGACGAUCAGAUACCGUCGUAGUCUUAACCAUAAACUAUGCCGACUAGGGAUCGGAUGAUGUUAAUUUUUUAAUGACUCAUUCGGCGCCUUACG
rnacentral:rRNA from 1 species